rnacentral:rRNA from 1 species
UACGGGGGGAGCAAGCGUUGUUCGGAUUUACUGGGCGUAAAGGGCGCGUAGGCGGUCAGCACAAGUCAGUUGUGAAAUCUCCGGGCUUAACCCGGAAAGGUCAACUGAUACUGUGCGACUAGAGUGCGGAAGGGGCAACUGGAAUUCUCGGUGUAGCGGUGAAAUGCGUAGAUAUCGGGAGGAACACCAAUGGCGAAGGCAGCUCGCUGGGACGGUACUGACGCUGAGGCGCGAAAGCGUGGGGAGCAAACAGG